rnacentral:rRNA from 1 species
AACGAACGCUGGCGGCAUGCCUAACACAUGCAAGUCGAACGAGCCCUUCGGGUCUAGUGGCGCACGGGUGCGUAACGCGUGGGAACCUGCCCUUAGGUUCGGAAUAACUCCCCGAAAGGGGUGCUAAUACCGGAUAAUGUCUUCGGACCACCGAUUUAUCGCCUUUGGAUGGGCCCGCGUUGGAUUAGCUAGUUGGUAGGGUAAAAGCCUACCAAGGCGACGAUCCAUAGCUGGUCUGAGAGGAUGAUCAGCCACACUGGGACUGAGACACGGCCCAGACUCCUACGGGAGGCAGCAGUGGGGAAUAUUGGACAAUGGGCGAAAGCCUGAUCCAGCAAUGCCGCGUGAGUGAUGAAGGCCUUAGGGUUGUAAAGCUCUUUUACCCGGGAUGAUAAUGACAGUACCGGGAGAAUAAGCUCCGGCUAACUCCGUG